AAUGUAAGCCGAAUCGAUUUUUUGGCCGUGUCCGCGAAUUUUCAAAUUUUGUUUGAUUUUUACUGACAUUCACUCUUAUUAUUAUGUAGCACGUCUUUACAUAAUUUUCAGCCCACCCUUUUUCAAGACGGAGUUCGAAGUGAGAUCAAACGUCUCAGGACUUUCAGAAACUCCUUUUCGCUGGCGACACUGAACUAACAUUUUCAAAACGCUCUACUUUUGACAGCGUUUUCAAAACAUCCCGAUUUCAUAUAUCGAUGUCGUGUAAACGCAAGGCGUAACUGAUUACCAAAGAACACGGUUUCAAAUGAAAACGCGACCGUAUUAACGGGACCAUUUACUAGUCACCGUCAAGAGAUAACGAUUUGGUUUUAGAGUGACGUCAUUAAACCGGUGAAAUUAGGCUAAUACACAUUAGUAGACCCUAAUUCCAUUGUUUUCUUUUGUGCCUAUUUGACUAUUACAUGUUGACUAGUAUUUAUUUACAGUGGAACCCCGCUCUAAGGACACCCACUUAAUAAGGACACCUCGUUAUUAAGGACACGUUACAGUACAGUAAAAAUAAAUGGUUCAAAAUGUGUUUUCAGCUGUUUUUCUGACACCUCGGUUAAUAGGGACACCCCGUUAAUAAGGACAGUUUUGUCCGUCCCAACGGUGUCCUUAUUAACGGGGUUCCACUGUAUUUAUUUCACGGGUUUAAUGCCUUCACUCUAUCUUCUUUUGUUAGGUUAAACCUGCAAAGGAUUGUUCCUAUUGGAGACAUUCACCUAACAGUUACAGGUGAAUUCUCAUAUCAGGCAAAGCCAAUCGACAGCGAUUACGCAUGCGCAUAUGGAAAAAUUUCGCCUCUGAACGAUCCAGCAUUCCUUGCAAAUGGACCUCAAGAACUCAUAUUAAGCUCCACGUGUUUGUCCAGAAGUUCUAGUGUCCUGACGUGUAAUACCGAAAUAUGACGUGACUUGAUGACAGCCCCCUUAAUUUUAGCAGUGUUACAAUGCCGAACACCGGAAAUGGACGAAGAAAUGCAUUACUGAGGUGCCUUUAAAGUGUAUAUCAAGGGAAAAAAAUUAUUUUCAAAAUCACUUGUAUAGGUGAACAGUGCAGCAGUAUGGUUGCAGUAUUUUUGUAUGUGGUCUUCUCUUUUCAGAGAUAUAAACAUUUGAAAUAUCAAUAUGCAAAAGAGAUUGCGUUGCUGUUAUCAAAAGCAACGGUUUUGUUGKUUUUUUUUGUUUUUGUUUUUGUUUUUUUUCUUUUUCUUUUCCUUCUUUUUUUGUUUGUUUUUUUCUUUUUUCUUUUUCAUUUUGUGGCCUGGAAAUCCAUAAUUUCAAGAGAAAAAGUGACACUUCAGUUUUGCAAUUUUUCUCGAUUCUGAUUGGCUGACAUGCUUUCUCGGAUCAGCUGGAUUGGAUGUGUUUCUUAAAAUAUUGCGUCUUGAAAGGACAUGAACCAAACGCACGUUAAACGGAACAACCAUGGCUCUUAUCUUCUUCCUAACCGUUGAUCAAAGAAGAUUGAAGAACCUAUAGUUGUCAUAACUCCCGGAAUUGAUCAGAAUGGAACCACUUCUACCUCUCAAAAUAGUUAAGUCCCACAAAAAGGUUUAGAAUUUUAGUUCUACCAAGUAGACUGUUUCACGUAGUAGAUAAAUUAUUAGGUGUGAACGAAAAAAAGAUAUAUAUUUUCUUCAUAUCCACA